GACGAACGCUGGCGGCGUGCUUAACACAUGCAAGUCGAACGGUGAACCUCUUCGGAGGGGAUCAGUGGCGAACGGGUGAGUAACACGUGGGCAACCUGCCCCCGGCUCUGGGAUAACUCCAAGAAAUUGGGGCUAAUACCGGAUGUUCACCGCUUCCCGCAUGGGUGGUGGUGGAAAGGGUUUCCGGCUAGGGAUGGGCCCGCGGCCUAUCAGCUUGUUGGUGGGGUAGUGGCCUACCAAGGCGACGACGGGUAGCCGGCCUGAGAGGGUGACCGGCCACACUGGGACUGAGACACGGCCCAGACUCCUACGGGAGGCAGCAGUGGGGAAUAUUGCGCAAUGGGCGGAAGCCUGACGCAGCGACGCCGCGUGGGGGAUGACGGCCUUCGGGUUGUAAACCUCUUUCAGCAGGGACGAAGCGCAAGUGACGGUACCUGCAGAAGAAGCACCGGCCAACUACGU
rnacentral:rRNA from 1 species